rnacentral:lncRNA from 1 species
GUGCGUUAUUACAAGAAAGCGCAACGCAAUCAAUGUGAGUAUACAUGACCCAUUUUCGUUUUACACUUUUUGGGUUGAUUUAUCAAGAAUUCAAGAAAACAAGCUAGGAUGGCUUUAGAAACACAUUUUAGUUAUAAACCUUGUUGAGAUUAUGUUUUGGAUAUUUGAAACUUUGUAUUGUUCCCUAGUUUUAAUAAAUGGAUUAAUUUUAUAUUAUC